rnacentral:lncRNA from 1 species
UCACAUUAUUUGCACCAUUCCGACAUUGCAUGCUACUUCCCACGUGAAUUUUGGAGCCUCCUCCGUGUGCUAUAAACGCUCCUGUUUGUAUUUCUGGACAUGAAUGGUUGCGUGGGGACUGCGUUCUGUUGUGGCACACUUUGCAAAAGGAUUCAACAAUCACUUUUCCUACCAUUUAUCUUCUGGUCCAGAAAACUCUCGUCACAAUUUGCCUGCUCAUUCUCCGCCUCUGAGAUCGAUAUUAAAGAAUGGUUUUUCUCAUUGUUUUCUGGUUCCUCUUUCAAACCCGGAGCUCUAACUUUCCGCAAGGGUCGCAAAGUCCGAUGGGAAAGAUCGCGGGAGGGUCGAAAAACGUGAUUUUUUAGAUUUUCCAAAUCUUUUUCGAUCCCGUUUUCUGCUUUACGAAAAAUCGCUAAUGAAAAUCAACGAAACGGAGUGCUGUGACUUACUCGUUCAAAUACACUUUUUUUUCUCUGUUAUGUGUACGAGGCCAAUAAUCCAAAAAACUUUUAUUUUCAGGAGGAAUCUACCGACAGACAGGUUGCGUUAGCACGAGGAAAAUUGCAGUCGUGAAAUGGGCAGUGAUCAUUCCAAAUUCCCGCUUCAUCUCAAUAUCCUGCGAUGGAGGGUUGACGUACCAAUAAAAUUGCACAACGAAGACCGCCACGUUUAUACCAUUUUGUGGCCAUAGCUUUGGGUCAAGGGCUCCAAAAGUUCGGCGUAUAAAUAAGUGCAAUAAAAUAUUUCACAGAAGCCUCGGAGGAUGGACUGGCAAAAUACGUGGGAUGGUCGGUGCUGGUCCGAAAAGAGCGAGUAUCGUUGGCCUUGGAGGAAUAAUAGAUCGAGGCGAGAGUUGUUUGAGGGUCGAGGUGGUCCGCGACCGAGGCACCGGAGUUUCCUCACACCCGCGUCUGUGUGCGAACGUGGACUUUCGCGGAGUUUAUUCAACGACCACGAGGGAUUCGGGCGGAUGUUUUUGCACAACUUCGGUCCGAGGCCCCAAACAGAUGCUUAUUGACUGAGAAACCGUGAAUCUGGGCUGGUCGGAGUGCGAUUAUUUCUUCACCGCGUCGACUCUGCGCAGCGGCGAGGAAAGCAAAUUUCGACCAUUCGAUAAAGUCGAACUGUAAGAAGAUCGAAGAUCAGAGGCAGGCGUGAGUACUUUCGAAGUACCAAAUUGACGACUCACGAAAUACGUUGAGAGCCGUUCAAAACAUGGGAAUGAGGAAUCGAUACGAAAGUUGUAUUUUCCACGUUACGUUGAUCCGGCAAGGACGGAGAAAGCAAAAGAGGGUGUUGAGCCCGAGGAAACGAGGCUGACAGUGAUUCGAGAAACAGAGCUCCGAAGUUGGGUGGUUUUGAGCUGUUCGCGAUGUCGUAUAUCGCAAGAGAUUCGCGGAGGUCGGAAGAGGAGAGAAAGAGCUCCGAUAUGAUGGAUAAGAGCGGUUUGGAACAAGAGUGGGUUUGGGUGCGUGCAUGUUUCAACGCUCAUCUCUCGUCUGGUCGCCGCGCUUGUUUUCCCCGUCAAGUGAGAGGGCAAGAGAAGGGCCGCGAUUUACCGCGAUUGCAGUAACAGCACGAGAGACUACGUGACACGGGACGCGCGUUACGAACCCUUCCAUCUUCCGAUCAACCUUUUAUCGGGCUGCGGAGUUCUGGGCUUUUUCAUCCACCGGAUCCAGACCAGCUCGAGGACGUACGGGCAUCGGAGCAGGAAGAUUCAGGAGCUUCGAACCUCCCCAAAAUGGAUGCUGCCGCACUGAGACAAAGGCACAGCUAUCGCUCGAAAAGUUAAACGCACCCUCGGCCAAAAAGUGUGCUCCAGAUUCGUAGAAGGAGGAGAAUAAAGCGAGAGAGAGAGGAAGAUUGUUGAAAAUUGUACCCAAAAAUGAGUAUUAUGUGAGCGAGUCAGUGACCAGAGCUCGGUUAUUUAGAUGUUGGCUUCACGCGGCGAUACAUCUGUCGAACAACUUAACGGCCGCUUUUCGAUUCCCAUAUCCAACUAGCAACGGAGCACGAGCUCGAGCGAGGCAAAAGGAGCCUUCGGGCUUAGUCAUUCCGCGAUUGAGCCGAACUACAGUAGUACGAUCAAGUGUCCCUUUUCUUUGUAUAUCUAUAGACACCCGUGUAUACUCACGUGUAGAAAAAAGUUUGUGUAUAAAUGUGUACACGCCCUGCGGGGUGGUUAGGA